GGAGAGCUGUCCGAGUUUGGCCGAAGGAGCACGAUUGGAAAUCGUGUAUACCGCUACCGCGGUAUCAAGGGUUCGAAUCCCUUGCUCUCCGCCA
rnacentral:tRNA from 2 species